rnacentral:rRNA from 1 species
CCUACGGGAGGCAGCAGUGGGAAUUUUGGACAAUGGGGGCAACCCUGAUCCAGCCAUUCCGCGUGAGUGAAGAAGGCCUUCGGGUUGUAAAGCUCUUUCGCAAGGGAAGAAAACUUAUGAUCGAAUAAAUCAUGAGGUUGACGGUACCUUGAUAAGAAGCACCGGCUAACUACGUGCCAGCAGCCGCGGUAAUACGUAGGGUGCGAGCGUUAAUCGGAAUUACUGGGCGUAAAGCGUGCGCAGGCGGUUUUGUAAGUCGGAUGUGAAAUCCCCGGGCUCAACCUGGGAACUGCGUUCGAAACUGCAAGGCUAGAGUGUGUCAGAGGGGGGUAGAAUUCCACGUGUAGCAGUGAAAUGCGUAGAGAUGUGGAGGAAUACCAAUGGCGAAGGCAGCCCCCUGGGAUAACACUGACGCUCAUGCACGAAAGCGUGGGGAGCAAACAGGAUUAGAUACCCUGGUAGUCCACGCCCUAAACGAUGUCAACUAGUUGUUGGUAGAGUAAAACUCUAUGAGUAACGUAGCUAACGCGUGAAGUUGACCGCCUGGGGGAGGUACGGUCGCGAGAUAAACUACGAAGAAGUAGACGCGNGAGACGUGCGACGACGACGACGAGGGAGGAGG